AGUGAUCAGAGGCACAUUGAGAAGCCUUUUAAAGUGAAGGAGGCAGAACCUGUGAAUGUGACAAAACCUUCACCACACAAGGUAAUGGUGCCUUGGAAGAUAAGAGAUUCUAGUAUAUUCUAGUUUGCCUCUAGCAUGGUGGAAAUGUGUUUUUCCUUAUCGCAUCUAGUUUGGUGUUGAAGCAUGUAAAGCUUCUUAUGUUCACCCUAUCCCUAUUAAUAUGCUGCUAGACCGAUUUAUCCAUUCAUACAAAUUAGAAAACACAGUUUUUUUUACUGCAGAUGGAUCAAUUUAGGCAACAUGGAAAUAAUUUAUGAAUAUGAUAUUCCGAGCAUCUAGUUUAUUGUAAUUAGACUGUUAUAUUUCAGAGACAUGGGAGUAAUGAUAUGUACUUUUCAUGGAAUGCUUUUUUAACUUCUAAUAGCGAUCGUAUAUGUUAAUCAAUUAAUUUGCAAUGAUGGAAGGAAUUAUAGUUUUUGACUAACAAUUGUAUGGGAUUUUCAACUCAAGAUAUGUUUGCUGUUAAUAUUUUUUUUUAAAUUUUUUUGGAUUCAUGUUUCUGAAAAUUCCUGAGCUGCUUCUGACAUCUGUCUUGGUAUAGCUGCUGGUUCUAGGAGGAAGUGGUUUCGUUGGAUCACACGUUUGCAAAGAGGCUUUGGACAAAGGUUUAGUUGUCUCUAGUCUUAAUAGGUAACUCCAUCAGCUAGUUUGUUCUCUUAUUUUCAUACUUUACAAUCUGUUUGGACUUCCUACUAUUAUAACUUGCUAGAUUUUUUUAUAUGAUACUAAAACUAUUGUAGAAUAGGAUGAAACAUUGAAAUGGCAGUAAAUUUCUACUUAACUGGGGUGUCAACUAAUUAAUCACAUAGCUUUGUUAAGAUAUACAUGGAAAACUAUAAUGGACUCUGAUCCUUAAAUAGUUGGUAUUCGAUCAAGCUUCUAUGGAUUUCUUUUGGGGCCUUAGCAUUAGUGAUAACCUCUCAUCCUUUUGUCUUUGGCUGUGCUGUUCCAGCCAUCAUUUCCUGCUGUGAGGAGUAUUUGUUAUGUGGAUCAACCUAAAGCAACUGAUGGUCCAUGAUCUUGUUCCCACUUUCUUGUUCAAAUAGCAAAAUAGGAGCAAACUACUACAUAUUAUUAGUAUGAACAUCAAUCAGUACAACACUAGAGUCCAGAACUAGGACAAUUUGCAAACCCAAUAUUGAGUUGGAAGGUAGAAUCAAAUCACACAAACUGAGGAUGUGGCAAUUUAGUAUUCUUCAAGGAUUUUUCUUAGUGCAAAUUAAGAAUGCAUUGGCUGUUCCUGAAUACAGCAUACACUUCAAAGAAAGAGUUCCAUUUUUCUACCUUGAACAAUUCACUGUUUGACUCCCUAUGCAAAACAUUGACUUGAUUUACUGCCCUAAAUUAUGGAAUUUAUCUUUUCUGUUUCUCCCUGUUCAAGUUAUACUUGGUCUCAAAUUUUUUGAGCUGAUACAUGACAUCACUAUGCUAGAAACUUUGAUAUUUUUUGUGGUUAUUUUUUUUUCUAAAACGCGCAGGAGAACUGCGCAUUAGAUAUAUUAAGAUAGAAGAAAUACCAAUGGUCUAAAGAAGACCAGAGUACAGAG
rnacentral:lncRNA from 7 species